UACGUAGGGUGCAAGCGUUGUCCGGAAUUAUUGGGCGUAAAGAGCUCGUAGGCGGUUUGUCGCGUCGAAUGUGAAAACCCGGGGCUCAACCCCGGGCCUGCAUUCGAUACGGGCAGACUAGAGUUCGGUAGGGGAGUCUGGAAUUCCUGGUGUAGCGGUGAAAUGCGCAGAUAUCUGGAGGAACACCGGUGGCGAAGGCGGCAUCCUGGACCAAUAUUGACGCUGAGGAGCGAAAGCCGGGGGAGCAAACGGG
rnacentral:rRNA from 1 species